ACUGGCAAGUCGCGGUAAGAGUGCAGGUGUGAGCAGUUAGCAGCUAAUAGAGCAGGUUGGGUUUUAGAAACACCGUUCUGAGAUUUGCCUAGAAGAGGAAUUGCCAAGGAUAUGCACAGCAUCUACAUUGGAAGAUACUACCUGGCUUUGCAAAACAGUUUUUACUGAUUUAUUUUUCUGCCAGCCCCAGGCCAGGUGGGUCCAGGUUGAUGAUGCCAACUCCACAUUGUCCCGCUCCUUGGUCGGCCUUUGCAAUAAACUUGCACUUUCCUUCACCACAGAGUGGUGUCAGUAGCUCGGCUUUACUGAGCAGGCAAUCACAUCACCUAUAAAUAACAAGAGGUUUGAGGUUUCCUUCUCAAGUUUGAUGCUUCUCAUUUUAAUUCUUUAUUAGUGCAGUUCAGUCGCUCAGUCAUAUCCGACUCUUUGCGACCCCAUGAAUUGCAGCACGCCAAGCCUCCCUGUCCAUCACCAACUCCUGGAGUUCACCCAAACCCAUGUCCAGCAACCUUUAGCUAUGUAAUAAUUCUGUCUCCCUGUCAAACAUUACAAGAUCUAUUAGCCUGCUUCCUACUACCAAGGAACGAUGCCUCCACCCCAUCUUUUUAUUGAGUUCACAGCUUCUAUUGUACUUUUAAAAAUUCAAAAUAAAUAGUGAUUUUUAUGUGUGCAUGUUUGUGUGUGUGCUGUUUUGUUUCUUCCUUCUGGGUUCAUUUUUCUUCUUGAGGUAAAUCAUUUAAUAGUCCCCGUUGUGAGGAUCAGUAAGUGGUAAAUACUCCAAGUUUCUGAAUGGUGAAAAUGACUUCUUUUUUGUCUUACAACUGAAAGGU
ensembl:lncRNA